AGUGAACGCUGGCGGUAGGCCUAACACAUGCAAGUCGAACGGCGGCACAGUAAGAGCUUGCUCUUACGGGUGGCGAGUGGCGGACGGGUGGGGAAUACAUCGGAAUCUACUUUUUCGUGGGGGAUAACGUAGGGAAACUUACGCUAAUACCGCAUACGACCUACGGGUGAAAGCAGGGGAUCUUCGGACCUUGCGCGAUUGAAUGAGCCGAUGUCGGAUUAGCUAGUUGGCGGGGUAAAGGCCCACCAAGGCGACGAUCCGUAGCUGGUCUGAGAGGAUGAUCAGCCACACUGGAACUGAGACACGGUCCAGACUCCUACGGGAGGCAGCAGUGGGGAAUAUUGGACAAUGGGCGCAAGCCUGAUCCAGCCAUACCGCGUGGGUGAAGAAGGCCUUCGGGUUGUAAAGCCCUUUUGUUGGGAAAGAAAAGCAGCAGGUUAAUACCCCGCUGUUCUGACGGUACCCAAAGAACAAGCACCGGCUAACUUCGUG
rnacentral:rRNA from 1 species